AACGCGAAGAACCUUACCUACUCUUGAAUCCACGGAAUCUUGCAGAGAUGCGAGAGUGCCUUCGGGAACCGUGAGACAGGUGCUGCAUGGCUGUCGUCAGCUCGUGUCGUGAGAUGUUGGGUUAAGUCCCGUAACGAGCGCAACCCUUGUCCUUAGUUACCAGCGAGUAAAGUCGGGGACUCUAAGGAGACCGCCGGUGACAAACCGGAGGAAGGUGGGGACGAUGUCAAGUCAUCAUGGCCCUUACGAGUAGGGCUACACACGUGCUACAAUGGUUGGUACAAAAGGCCGCGAAGUCGCGAGAUGGAGCAAAUCCCAAAAAACCAAUCGUAGUCCGGAUUGGAGUCUGCAACUCGACUCCAUGAAGCUGGAAUCGCUAGUAAUCGUGGAUCAGAACGCCACGGUGAAUACGUUCCCGGGCCUUGUACACACCGACUGUAC
rnacentral:rRNA from 1 species